rnacentral:tRNA from 1 species
AGAAUAAUAAUUUAUUUAAAAUUUUUAAUUUGCAUUUAAAAAAUAUUAAUUUAUAUUUAAUUUAUUUUA